CCCUUAGAUGUCCUGGGCCGCACGCGCGCUACACUGACGGAGGCAGCGAGCGUGUCCUUCGCCGGCAGGUGCGGGCAAUCUUGCGAGUCUCCGUCGUGCUGGGGAUAGAUGGUUGCAAUUGUCGAUCUUGAACGAGGAAUUCCUAGUAAGCGCGAGUCAUCAGCUCGCGCUGAUUACGUCCCUGCCCUUUGUACACACCGCCCGUCGCUACUACAGAGUGCCCGUGUCCAAGAAACGGUCGGACCUGUGCGGCCUCUCCGGGCGACCGGAGGGCCGUUACGGGGAAGACCCUUUAUUUGACGCGGGUCGAUGAAGUAAAAGUCGUAACA
rnacentral:rRNA from 1 species